rnacentral:rRNA from 1 species
GACGUAGGGAGCAAGCGUUGUCCGGAUUUACUGGGCGUAAAGAGCGCGUAGGCGGUCUGUUAAGUGUAGAGUGAAAUCUCCAGGGCUCAACCCGGAAACUGCUCUGCAUACUGGCAGACUUGAGGGACUGAGAGGUGAAUGGAAUUCCUGGUGUAGCGGUGAAAUGCGCAGAUAUCGGGAGGAACACCUAUGGCGAAGGCAGCUCGCUGGGACGUUACUGACGCUGAGACGCGAAAGCGUGGGGAGCAAACAGG